ACGUGAUCUCCUGAUAGGUGUGAGACACCACCAAUUGAAUUCGUCCAUGUAAAAAGAAGGCUAACUUGUGCUCUUUCCUUCCCAGUGUUCCUCAAUGUGUAAACAAAAACUGAUGUAGGAAGACUGCUCUCGCUGUAGUCAUGUGGGAUGAACGGUGAUAUUUGACGACAAGAAACUUUCAGUUCUGGAUCUGGUUCACCAUCAUAUACUGUCCAAGCCCGAGGAAAGAGUGCAUGAUAUGUAGAAUGCUGUCCACUUAGAUUCCAG
rnacentral:misc_RNA from 1 species